rnacentral:rRNA from 1 species
CCUACGGGAGGCAGCAGUGAGGAAUAUUGGUCAAUGGACGCAAGUCUGAACCAGCCAUGCCGCGUGCAGGAAGACGGCUCUAUGAGUUGUAAACUGCUUUUGUACGAGGGUAAACGCAGAUACGCGUCUCUUUCUGAAAGUAUCGUACGAAUAAGGAUCGGCUAACUCCGUUCCAGCAGCCGCGGCAAUACGGAGGAUUCAAGCGUUAUCCGGAUUUAUUGGGUUUAAAGGGUGCGUAGGCGGAUUGGUAAGUUAGAGGUGAAAUGUCCGAGCUUAACUCGGGAACUGCUUUUAAUACUGUUGAUCUAGAGAGUAGAUGAGGUAGGCGGAAGGUAUGGUGUAGCGGUGGAAUGCGUAGAGAUCAUACAGAACACCGAUUGCGAAGGCAGCUUACCAGUCUAUAUCUGACGUUGAGGCACGAAAGCGUGGGGAGCAAACAGGAUUAGAUACCCGUGUGGUC